GCAAGAGCGGAAUUGAAGCAUUAUGUUUUACCUCCUUCUCUAACCUGGUGGUGCUACACUAUUUGUGAAAGAGUUUAGGCUUCUGAAUCUUAGGAAGAAAUUGAUAGUAGUUUAUUUGGUUAUUUUGGGUAUUUAAAGUAUUUAGUUUAUUUUUGGUAUUUGACUUUGUUGUUACAGUAGAUGCUGUUUGUCAUUAGAUAUUUUGGAUUAUUGAGAGUCAAAUCAGAUUAAGAGCAUUGUUCUAUUAUUUGUUGUGGUUCUUCAUAAAUCUGGUAUCAAAGCAAAUAUAAUGAUUCUUAGUCUCUUGCAUGAUUCAAUCCACAUCUUGUGUGUACAUUAGAUUUCAUUUAGUGUUUAUAAUUGACUGAGAAUUAUAAUGUAUUUAUUUACAGAUGGAUCAACAAGAACCAUCAAAUCCUAUGUCAUAACCUCCCAUUACUUCGAGCAAUAUUGAAGCUGCUGAGGCAACUUCCAAAAUGAAGAGGAAGAGUAUGAAGCCAAGAUCAGUUGUGUGGGACCACUUCUCUAAAUUUAUCGAUGAUACGGGAAUUCAAAAAGGCAAGUGUAAUCAUUGUGAAAAGGAGUUUUAUUGUGAUCCAAAAAGAAAUGACACAUCUGCACUUAAACAUCAUAUGUCUGCAUGCAUAAAAAAAACCCCAUAGUGUGACUACUAGACAAUCACAAUUGUCUUUACAAUCACUUUCUUCUAGUACACAAGAGGGAGGGGGAAAUUAUCAAUUAGGCACAUUAAGUAGUUGGCAUUUUGAUCAAGAUGUAGCUAGACGUAAGUUAGCUAAAAUGACAAUUAUUGAUGAGCUGCCAUUUAUGUUUGUAGAAGGGGAAGGGUUUAAGGAAUGGGUUGAAUGUAUACAGCCUAAGUUUCGAAUUCCAUCCCGUUGGACUGUUUCAAGGGAUUGUUAUGAUUUAUAUUUAAAGGAGAGGAAAAAAUUAAAGAGUUACUUUCAAAAUUCUAGUCAGAGAAUUUGCAUUACCACAGACACAUGGACUUCAUUGCAAAGAAUUAAUUAUAUGUGUAUCACUGCACACUACAUUGAUGAUAAUUGGACACUUCAUAAAAAAACUCUAAAUUUUUGUCCAAUUGGAAGUCAUAAGGGUGAUGAUAUUAGCAUGGCUGUUGAGAGUUGUUUACUUAAUUGGGGAAUUAAGAGAGUAUUUACAGUGACUGUGGAUAAUACUAGUUCCAAUGAUGUGGCUGUUACAUAUUUAAAAAAGAAAAUCAAUGGUUGGGGAUUUGGGAUUUUAAAUUGCAAAUAUCUUCAUAUGAGAUGUAUUGCCCAUAUAAUUAAUUUAGUUGUGGUUAAUGGACUGAAAGAAAAUAUUGAAGUAGUAAAAAGGGUUAGAGAAGCAGUGAGAUAUGUGAGAUAAUCACCUGCUAGAUUGCAAGAGUUCAAAUCAUGUUGUGAGAUGGAGGGGAUUCAAAGUAAAUAUCAUUUAUCUUUGGAUGUUUCCACAAGGUGGAAUUCCACCUAUUUGAUGUUGAGAACUGCAGAAAAAUUUGAAAAUGCAUUUGAUAAAUUUGCAACUAUUGAUCCAUGUUUUAAGUUUGAUCUUGUGUCUGGUAAAGAAUGUGAUGGUGUGCCUGAUAGUUUGGAUUGGGACUAUAUUAGAAAAACUGUAGAUUUCUUGGGUCAUUUUUAUGAUCUUACAUUAAAGAUUUCAGGUUCUAGAUAUGUCACUUCCAAUUUUUUUUUUGAUGAGAUUAGUUCAGUUGAUUGUUUAUUACAAGAGUGGAAAAUGAGUGAUGACCUAACUUUGGCAAAUAUGGGUGAGAAUAUGAAAGUGAAGUUUGAUAAAUAUUGGGGGGAUCCUGAUAAAAUGAACAAACUUAUUUAUAUUGCGGUUGUGAUGGAUCCUAGAUAUAAGAUGGAGUUUAUGGGUUUUGCACUCUCUGCUGUGUAUGGGAAUGGAAAGGGUUUGGAUUUAACACAUAAAAUUAAAUCAGUUGUGUAUGAGUUGUUUGAUGAAUACAAGAGAAUGUUUGCUAAUGAAAAUGCAAACAUAAAUGAUGGCCAUGUACAUUCAAAUGCAAUUGAAAACUUGGACGAGGAAGGAUCAAAAAAGAGAUCAAGGAUGAAUUUGGGUAGUCAAUUUUUGAAACAUAAAAUUGAGAUUGGAGAAACUAAAAAUAAGUCAGAUCUGGAUUGCUAUCUUAAUGAGAGUAUUCAAGUGGUGGAAGAGAAUAAUGAAUUUGAUAUAUUACUUUGGUGGAAACUUAACUCUAAUAGGUUCCCUAUCCUUUCCCAUAUGGCUAGAGAUAUUUUAGCAGUUCCUAUCUCUACUGUUGCAUCGGAAUCGGCUUUUAGUACUGGGGGUAGAGUACUUGACCCUUUUAGGAGUUCUUUAACUCCUAAAGUUGUUGAGGCUUUAAUAUGUACACAAGAUUGGCUUCGAAAAUCUCAUUGCCGCAAGUCCAUUGAAGAACAAAUAGCAUAUAUGGAAAGACUUGAAGAAGGUAUGUAGAAUCUUAAUUUUUUGAAAUUAUUAUUGGCUUUAAUGUUUCAUGCUUAAUAAAUAUUAAAUUAUUUUUCUCUUAUUUUUUCAGCAUUUGCAAAUUGUGAAGUGAGUAGCAGUAUUAAUGAAAACAGUCAAAACACCAUCCAUGGUUGAUAUAAAAUGGAAUGAUUUCAAGGUAGAUCUUUUUUUCUUGUUAUUAUUAAUUAUUAAUUGAUUCUGACAAUUUUUUAUAGCUAUUCUAAUAUUUUUUAUGCUUACAAGUGAAAUAUCAGUUCAAGUUUGAAGAAUAUGGUGGUGUCGGUUUGUUGGAGACUUUAUGGCAAAAAUGAAGAUAUUUUUAUUAUUUAAUUUUAUGCUCGUUCAGUCAUUUGGAAUUUAGAUCAUGUAAUUUUGGACUUUUGGAUUAUGCAACUUUCUUUAUAUUUAUAUUGGACUAUUGGAUUAUAAACUAUAUUUUAUAUUAUGUAUGAAUAUGUUGUGUAAAAUAGUAGAGCAAAUUAUUUUAAUAGUAGACUAGAGAUGUAAAAUUUUAAUUUUUAUAUUGUUUUAUGACUAUUAU
rnacentral:lncRNA from 1 species